rnacentral:rRNA from 1 species
AUGCUAGUGUUCGAGCUCGUCUGCAAUGGGACCGUGAAUGACAUUCUUCACGGCGGCAACAAGGCUCCCCUAAAGUUGGAUCUGCGCUUAAUUAUUGCUGCAGAGUCGGCACAGGGUCUAGCUUAUCUGCAUUCACAAGCUCAUAUGAAAAUAUGGCAUGGUAGUUUUCAACCGGCAAAUAUACUCUUGGAUCAAAACUUUAUGCCAAAGAUCGCAGGCUUUGGGAUAUCGAGGUUGAUUACAGAAGAUAAGGAACACACUUGCAAUGUCAUCGGUGACUUGAGUUAUAUGGAUCCAGUAUACCUGGAAACAGGUCUGCUGACCUUGAAAAGUGAUGUCUACAGUUUUGGAGUUGUGAUCUUGGAGCUCAUUAGCAGGAACAAGCCCACUCAUUCUGUUAAUAACAGACUAGUGAGGAGAUUCCUUGAAGUUCACAAAGAAGGGAAGAAAGCAACGGAGCUGUUUGACAAGGAAAUUGCAGUAACAAUGGCAGAUUUGGAAAUUCUCGACUGUCUUGCAGUGAUUGCCGUGGAAUGUCUUAACCUUGAUGUGGAUCAGAGGCCCACGAUGACAGAUGUUGCGGAGCGCCUUCUCAUGCUGAACCGAUCUCGUAGGUCGCAAGCUGUUUAG